rnacentral:rRNA from 1 species
GACGAACGCUGGCGGCGUGCUUAACACAUGCAAGUCGAACGGAAAGGCCCUGCUUGCAGUGUACUCGAGUUGCGAACGGGUGAGUAACACGUUGGUGAUCUGCCCUGCACUUCGUGAUAAGCCUGGGAAACUGUGUCUAAUACCUGAUAGUAGCCAUUUUUAUUGUGAUGGUUGGUAAGUUUUUUCGGUGUGGGAUGUGCUCGCGGCCUAUCAGCUUGUUGGUGUGGUAAUGGCCUACCAAGGCGGCGACCGGUAGCCGGACUGGGAGGGUGGACGGCCAAAUUGGGAAUGAGAUACGGCCCAGACUCCUACGGGAGGCAGAAGUGGGGAAUAUUGAAAAAUGGGCGCAAGCCUGAUGCAGCGACGCCGCGUGGGGGAUGACGGCCUUCGGGUUGUAAACUAAUUUCGCUAGGGACGAAGCUUUUUGUGACGGUACCUAGAUAAGAAGCACCGGCUAACUACGUG